rnacentral:ncRNA from 1 species
UGAUGGAGGCGCGGAUCUUAUCAGUAACCCGGGAAAAUGCCGGCAGGCACGGGCGAAAGGAAGAUCUGCCGAAGUGGAACGGACGCCAUUCCGUUUUGCUGGGCUGCAAGAGAAGAUCCUGCAGACUGUCACUUUAUGUGGAGGGCCAUC